CAGGAAAAUGUCAACAGGUUCCAUUUUUGCAACUCAGGAUGACAAGGCAAUGCCUACAUAGUCUAUGAUAAACCUUAUUUUAUAUAGAAAUAAUUACUCCAUGCACUCUGUUCAAAUGGUUACAAAUAUAGAUAAUACCACAACUAUUUAACUGUGCUACAGUACUUGUCAAUCAUAAGGUCCUAAAAAUAAAACCCUGCUUUUCAGCACAUCUGAGACAGAGUUUAAGCCAAGCAAAAUCCCAUAUGUGUUAGUAGAAUUUAGCUUUAAAACAGAGAGUCAGGGCAUGGUGUCUUAUUACUGAAGAAACAGCUGAUUGUGUGUAUUCUUGAAGUACGAGAUAGGACUUGCUUUGGAAGUUGGACUUCAGUCAUGCACUUAAUCAGGUAUCAGUCCCCAAGAAGAUUGCCUUGAAGAUUCCCAGCAGUACAAGAAUGGCUUGAGAUCAUUUCCAAAACAUCUGAAGCUGAGCUGAGUGGUGGACCUCUCAUUGAAAUAUGGAGAUUGAGGCAGUUUCAUUCCAAAGGCCAAACUGAAGAGCAAGGAUCAGAGCACACAGUGGAUGGAAGGAUAUAUGCCUGAGAGGUACAGUCAAUGGAAAAAUGUCAAAGCCAAGUUUUCAGUCUGGUCACAUACAUCACCCCAGGCAAAAAGGAAAAAAAAAUUAAAAAAGCAUAUGUAGAUAGCUUUGAUUGAUUGAUAAUUAUUUUAUUGUGCAAAAGCAAUACCAUUUAUGCAUGUGCAAAGUUGAAGAAACAAAUUAGGGUUUGUAAUCAGUACUUAUUAUUCUGAAUUGAGAUACUUGAAAUAGUACUUAAAUAAUGAAAUAGAUCUGGAAUGUGCAGGUAUAAAAGUAAGUAGCACCUGCUAGAUGUUAAAAUGUCAGCUGCAAAAGUACAUUCAGCUUAAAACUAAAUCAGCUGCUUUUUAGAGAGUUUCAUCACCUAGCACACUGUAUUUGUAGCUGGAGCUACAAGCUACAGGCAUGAUGAUUAUUGUAAGGUGUUUUUUUUUCCCUGGAUUUUCAAAAUCAGCAAAUAAGAAAGGAACCCAGAAGAAAUUCACAAAGAAAAAGAGGUAAAAAUAUAAAUAGCGAGGGCAUCAACAGCUGUCAAGUACAUUAAAUGGCUUCAGAUAACGAAGCAAGGUCUGGUUUACAAAAAUUAAAACCCGCCUCCAAAGUAACAGCUUUUAUUUGCUUUCCUGUGGCUUAGUGUCCUGCUAAUAGUGAUCAACACGCCAAAAACCAAUUCAUGUUCAAUCCAUGUACUGUUAUCUUUGGCAGCUUUCUAGAUUUUAGGAACAUUACAACAUGACAAACUAAUGAGAUGGAUUUUUAAUUUAGGCAUUAGAAACAGAGACAGAAGUGUGUUCCUAAUAAGAAAUUUUCCGCUAUUGAGAGUGCUAAAGCUAUCUCAUUUGAUGCAGCCAAGAUAAGGAAGGGGUGUCCCUUUAGAAUUGCUUUCUGCUGUAAAGAGAUAGUGCACUUAAGUUGUGUUUAAGCAGCACAUGAUUGUUUAUUAGUUUGCUUUGAAUCAAUAGUUUAAAAUAUAUUGAAACAGUACAGAUAUUGAGUUGAAAAGCAAUUCAGCUUUAAAAAAAAUAGCAGAAAUUAACCCCCCCGAUUUAAAUCAGAAUUUUAAGAUUAUGUGCAUUACAUGAUUAUUUCCGUGUUCUGUUUCUGUAUUUUAGAAUCUUCUGCCUGUAUUUUAAGAUGUAUUGAUAUUUUUUGUGGCCAUAUUGCUGUAACAUUAUACAAAUAAUCCAGGACUAGACUAUUGCCAUAGAAUUACAUAGUCAGUAAGGAACUGCCAAGCAUAUUCAUAGAUGAGAAGGCAUUUAAAGAAAUUAUUAUGAUUUCCAUGUUCUGUAAGUUUUGGAAUUUUAUAUUUCACACACACAAAAAAAUAGUUCAAGACAUAAUAUGCAACAUACUAGGCUGAACAAAGUUCCUUAAAACGCUAUAAAAGCAAAUACUCUUAAAUACUUAUUGAAAGAUCUAUUUUGAAUACAAACCAUCCACAGCCAUGGUGUUCAUUGCCAUACCAUCGAUCUUUUUCAGUGAAUGGGACUAUUGUGAACAAAUAUUGCACCAUGUGUAACAAAGUGCAAAACUACAUUAAAUGCUGUUUAAUGCAUUACAUUUUUAAAGACAUGGAAUUAAAGGCAUGCACAGGAAACUGUUAACAAUAAAGUUGAGAAAAAUACAUGUCCCUUUGAAGCUGUGUUUUUCCACAUCUCUGUGUUCUUACCCCUGAAUUGCUUUCAGGAAUACAUGCAGUUCUGCCUACCCCAAGGUGAAGCCUGGAUGCGAGUCCUGACAAUGCCAGGGCAAUUCAACUAAACACCAUAAAUCUGCAGGCGUUCGUUCACAAGCAUGGUCUCGGUUUCACAGUCUGACCCUAAGAGUGCAGAGUCGUGUUUCUGUUUUACUCUAAUUGUGGCAUUUCUGGGUAAUAGGACCAGCAAAAAUGAUCCUGUAAAUUGCCUUUUAGCUUUAUUUCACUCUCUGGAAUGCUGACAAGUAUUCGAAUGUAGCUGAGGUUUCAAGCAAGCUGAAUGGCUUGGCAGUUGUCACUUGUCCUGAAGGUCAGUUACUGACAUACUGAAAACACAUUGCUCUUCCCUUUCCUUAGCAAUACUGCAGUCAGUGAUGAGGACUAGGAAAACCAGGCCUUUCAGUUAAAUCAGUGGACAUUACUGUCUCUUAUCCUGAUUUAGCCCAUAUUGACAACUUUUCCCAUGCUUCUACACUGAUAUUUUUACCCGAAUACCCAUUUCAUGAGCUCCCACCUUUUGUGUUUGCUUCUCAGUCCACUUAGAGCAACGUGAACUUUCACAGAAAGUAGUUUUGAAUUGGAUCCAUAAUACUUAUGGCACCAAUCUCACUAUUUCUCAAGCAGAGGAAUACUCUGCAAAUGACAGCAGUGGCAACUGAAUUAUUUCAUAGAGCAGUGGCAAAGGUCUGAAGAAG